CUUGAGGAUGGACUCGCGUCCGAUUAGUUAGUUGGUGAGGUAACGGCCCACCAAGACAUCGAUCGGUAGCCGAACUGAGAGGUUGAUCGGCCACAUUGGGACUGAGACACGGCCCAGACUCCUACGGGAGGCAGCAGUGGGGAAUAUUGGGCAAUGGGCGAAAGCCUGACCCAGCAACGCCGCGUGAAGGAUGAAGGUCUUCGGAUUGUAAACUUCUUUGAUCAGGGACGAAACAAAUGACGGUACCUGAAGAACAAGCCACGGCUAACUACGUGCC
rnacentral:rRNA from 1 species